GGUCCAUCAAGUAAAGAAUCUAAAUACUUUCGCGCCUAAACCAACCAGAAAACAGCGCCAGAGAGAGGCAAAGCAGAAACGCCUGAAACCGCCGCUACAAACGCUGCUCAAGCCGCCAUCACCGUACCAGCACCAGCCAAACGUUAACGGAGCGUUUCCCGUUCUUUCUUCUCCUUAGAGAAGAGGAGCUAAUGGAAGUUAAUCAACAGGCUAGAUGUAGAGAGUUGGCUAAAUCGUCCUCAUUUUAUAGUACAGUUUACUCUGAGAUAGAAGAGGUUGGAUGGGAUCAUUUGGUGAGGGCGGGAGGAGAUCUAAGUUUCCUUAUUUUUCGUGUUUUAGAUAAGAAGGGAAGAGUGCAUGUUAUGGAAAUUCAGUUGGAUAAAGCUUAUCCUAGAGUUCCUCCAAUGGUUUCAGCGGAUGUUCCCUAUAUCUUCAAUUUAAAAUGGUCAAUGAACUCGAGACUGAAAAACUUGGUACAACAGUUUGAGAAGCAUCUGGAGAAGCUUCAAGGAUUCUGGUCUACCUUGGACGAAAUUGACAGGUCUCUUCAGAUUGUUGAUUCAAAGCAAGCAUCUCGUGCCAUUCCGAGUCGCCAAAUCCACGUAGGAAAUGAUUGCUUCAUCAUAUUGUUCAUCGAUAUCAAUGAUCCUAGAUCAUUACCAGAGUGUCGUUUUAUGGGUUUAGGUAAUACUGUGAACUCCUUGAGAAAGACAUGGAAAAGAAAUGUUGAUAAAUGGGAGAGGGACAAAGCCUUUUUAGAAAAUCUUGAGUGUCUUUUGAACACCCAAUUGCCAAGGCUUGCUGAUGAAGAGACCAACAAUCAUCUAGAUGAAUGUGGAAUCUGUUAUGCUCAAUAUCUCCCCAUUGGUGAUGAGCUUGGACCUCGGACUGGAAGUGCAACUGAUUACACUUGUGAGAAUAACAGUUGUAGUAAGGCUUUCCACAGCGUGUGCCUAGUCGACUGGUUGAGGUCGAUCACGACAACAAGGCAGUCAUUCAAUGUUCUGUUUGGAAAUUGUCCUUAUUGCUCAGAGCCAAUUGCAGUGAAAAUCAAUGCCACAAAGAAUUAAAGAUCUUAUAAGUCAUAAUCUAUGAUCCUAAGCUGAUUCAUCCUGUCCCGGAGAACCCUUUCACGAGCAGAAGAGGCGUGUGAAAUUCCAUUACUGCCAAAGCAGCAAAACUCUGAAGAUUAAAGCUUCUCUUGUCCAUGCAGCUUCCAGGUUGUUCAUCUCAAUCACGGUAAUGGCGUCUUUGAAGAAUGAAAUUCUGCUGUUGGAUCGCAACAACAGAUUUGCGUUGUGGCAGAUAAAGAUGCAGGCAGUUCUUGCACAGAUGAACUUAGAGGAAGCCCUGCUAGGGGUAGAUAAGAUGCCUUCAACAUUGAUGAAGGAAGAGAAGAAGCGCAAGGAUCGAAAUGCGUUAACACAGUUACAUCUGCAUUUGUCUAACAAAAUUUUACAGGAUGUGAUGAAGGAGAAGACUGCCGCUAGAUUAUGGAAGAGGUUGGAACAAAUAUGUAUGUCGAAAACUCUAACUAGCAAGCUGCAUAUGAAGCAGCGUCUUUAUGCUAAUCGUUUGGAGGAAGGUGUGCCUGUGCACAAACACUUAACAGUGUUUAAAGAAAUUCUCUCAAACUUGGAGGCGAUGAAGGUUCAGUAUAAUAAGGAAGAUCUAGUGUUGGUUCUACUUUGUUCGUUGCCUCCAUCUUAUUCAACCUUUAGAGAUACGAUUUUAUAUAGUCGCGAGUCUCUCAGAGUUGAUGAGGUUUAUAAUUCUUUAACCUCGUAUGAUAAGAUGAAAUAUCUUGUGGUUAAAAUCGACUCUUAGGGAGAGAGUCUCAUUGUUCGUGUGAGACAAGAUCAGAAUGCUAAUUAUGAUCGUGGAAGAGUUAACACAGGAACGGUAAUGACCCAAAAUUCACAAGCACAAAAAAAAUGA